rnacentral:misc_RNA from 1 species
GAUGAAGAACGUAGCGAAAUGCGAUACGUAGUGUGAAUUGCAGAAUCCCGUGAACCAUCGAGUCUUUGAACGCAAGUUGCGCCCGAAGCCAUUAGGCCGAGGGCACGCCUGCCUGGGCGUCACACGUCGUUGCCCCCCCAUCUACUCCUUCGGGAUUGCGGGGGGCGGAUGAUGGCCUCCCGUGCGCCUCGUCGCGCGGUUGGCAUAAAUGCCAAGUCCUCGGCGACGCACGCCACGACAAUCGGUGGUUGCGAAACCUCGGUUGCCCGUCGUGUGCGGUCGUCGCGCAUCGAGGGCUCGAAAAAAUUGCCGGGCUCCGGCUCGGCUUUCAACGCGACCCCAGGUCAGGCGGGGUUACCCGCUGAAUUUAAGCAUAUCAAUAAGCGGAGGA